ensembl:processed_transcript uncharacterized LOC110317502
GUUUCCUGUCGCGUGGUUGUGUUUCCUCUCCGGCCAGUGCCAUCCGCCCAAAUCUACAGACAUCCCGCGUGUUCCCGGGCUGUCCGCUCGUCUCCCCUAUACAGGGCGCCAAGCAUCCUACCAAGGCGAAUCGGUUGACCAGGGUUUAAGUUGAGGACUCUUCCUCAGGACCCCGGGUGCAGCGUCUGGGUCCCCCUGCCCUGCCUUGCGCUGCAGCCGCUUCCGUUGUCCUGCCAGGCUGUAGACUGCGCAGCCCUUCUAGAGACAGACGGAAGCUCCGUGGGUUGACAGAUUACACCUUCUGGAGCCCCCUGUUCCCUUCAACUCCGUGAUGGGCAUCCACUGUCCAGGGAGAGGAUGCCUGGAAAUGACAGCCGGGGUCUACAGUGGCCAUAAGAGUUGUCCCCAUCUUGCUAGAUCGACAGACUGGUGCCCCCGAAUGAGGACUGUGCCCUGGGACAGGGGAUAUGGUAUAGUUGGAAGUUUGUGAAGGUAAGCCGCUUGGGAAGGGUUUUCUCUCCGCCCUGUGACAACAGGCAAGAGUGGGGGCCCAACAAUACAGAGUAAGUGAUGUGUCACUUCUACUCUUCCAUGCCCAGUGCCAGGAGAGACGGUACACUCGAGUGCUGUGCCCUGGUGGGCCUUUGAACAGCCAGUGGCAGGUGCAGUGGAUCAUCAGCCCUGUCUCCCAAGAGCCUCGCCAGUCCCUUCUCCGGAGAGCAAGUGGCUCCACUGGCUGCUCCGGAGGCCAUAGCAGGAUUGUCACCUGUACUCAACAGUCCUCCUCGACUUUCCAGAAGAGGCUGGAACAGGGCCCUUGAAGAUGUUUGUGGACACCAGAGUGCCAAAGACCACGCUCAAAGUGAAACUGGAGACACCGCCCCCUCGGCAUCAUGAAACAGCUUUUUACUGUGCUUGGUCACUGGCUCAUACAUGGGAGAUUCCAGCAUACAAAGUCUUGACACCAACACCUCGGAGGGCUGUGUUCUGUCCCCAUGACCAUCUGCCAGUGCCUGGAAUGACUAAUGCCAAGAACUUGGUGCCAACUUCCUGUUACCUCCCUAACAGCUGUGCAAUAAAUCUCAUAGAUUAAUUCAGUCUGCCUUUUAAAUCUGUGUCAACCAUGAAUGCAGGGCUGGGUGUGGAAAAGGAAGGCCAGUUCCUGUCACUCCUUGUGACUUUCCUGUUCUUAAGGCCCCCCAAGGCUUGGGCUUCAGGGUGUUGGAAGUGGACAGGUAGGGCUGGUAGCCUGUAUGAUUUUAGGACUUGUGAGAGUUUAAGAGAUAGUUGAACUGACAAGGUCAGGACUUGGGGAAGGUGCCUGUGUCAGUAAAAAAGGCUGGGGUGUCCUAGGAAGAGAACUAGGGAAGUGAAUGGGCAAAUGUAGAGCAUUUUCCUAACAGGACAGGUUACCAUAGACCGGUGGGAGCCGUUGCCAUGGGAACUAGGGCAUGCUCAGGGAUUGGCUUUGGAGGUCCUUAAAGGUCAGAAGUAUUCUGACUGGGUGGAAUGCCAGGUGGCAGGGGCAAGAAGAAACCCCCUUGAGUCACUUGGAUACCAGUAGGGCC